CUACGUGCCAGCAGCCGCGGUAAUACGUAGGUCCCGAGCGUUGUCCGGAUUUAUUGGGCGUAAAGCGAGCGCAGGCGGUUAGAUAAGUCUGAAGUUAAAGGCUGUGGCUUAACCAUAGUACGCUUUGGAAACUGUUUAACUUGAGUGCAAGAGGGGAGAGUGGAAUUCCAUGUGUAGCGGUGAAAUGCGUAGAUAUAUGGAGGAACACCGGUGGCGAAAGCGGCUCUCUGGCUUGUAACUGACGCUGAGGCUCGAAAGCGUGGAGAGCAAACAGGAUUAGAUACCCUGGUAGUCCACGCCGUAAACGAUGAGUGCUAGGUGUUAGACCCUUUCCGGGGUUUAGUGCCGCAGCUAACGCAUUAAGCACUCCGCCUGGGGAGUACGACCGCAAGGUUGAAACUCAAAGGAAUUGACGGGGGCCCGCACAAGCGGUGGAGCAUGUGGUUUAAUUCGAAGCAACGCGAAGAACCUUACCAGGUCUUGACAUCCC
rnacentral:rRNA from 1 species